rnacentral:rRNA from 1 species
GAUGAACGCUGGCUACAGGCUUAACACAUGCAAGUCGAGGGGAAACGACGGGGAAGCUUGCUUCCCCGGGCGUCGACCGGCGCACGGGUGAGUAACGCGUAUCCAACCUGCCUCUGACUGAGGGAUAACCCGUCGAAAGUCGGCCUAAUACCGCAUUGCAUCUUCUGCGGGCAUCCAACGACGAUUAAAGAUUUCAUCUGUCACAGAUGGGGUUGCGUCUGAUUAGCUUGUUGGCGGGGUAACGGCUCACCAAGGCGACGAUCAGCAGGGGUUCUGAGAGGAAGGUGCCUGAGAGUGGAACGGAGACCAGUGCGACAGUCAUACGGGCGGGAGUAGUGCGGGAUAUUGGAGUGGGGGAGAGAGCCUGAUGCAGCCAAGUAGGGUGCAGGAUGACGGCGUGAGGGGUUGUAAACUGCGGUUAUGAGGGGAUAAAGUGAGGGACGUGACCGUCAGUGAAGGUAACGGAUGAAUAAGGACCGGCUAACUCCGUG